UACCAUGGUGGUAACGGGUAACGGGGUGUUAGGGCACGACACCGGAGAGGGAGCCUGAGAAACGGCUACCACAUCCAAGGAUGGCAGCAGGCGCGCAAAUUACCCAAUCCCGACACGGGGAGGUAGUGACAAUAAAUAACAAUACAGGGCUCUUUUGGGUCUUGUAAUUGGAAUGAGUACAAUUUAAAUCUCUUAACGAGGAACAAUUGGAGGGCAAGUCUGGUGCCAGCAGCCGCGGUAAUUCCAGCUCCAAUAGCGUAUAUUAAAGUUGUUGCAGUUAAAAAGCUCGUAGUUGAAUUUCGGGAUCAAUAUAUCGGUCGUGCUUCGGUACGUACUGGUAUCAUUGGUUUCUCCUUUCUGACGAACCAUGAUGUCAUUAAUUUGGUGUUAUGGGGAGUUAGGACUGUUACUUUGAAAAAAUUAGAGUGUUUAAAGCAGGCUUUAGCUUGAAUACAUUAGCAUGGAAUAAUGAAAUAGGACGUUCGAACCUAUUUUGUUGGUUUCUAGGAUCAACGUAAUGAUUAAUAGGGAUAGUUGGGGGCAUUAGUAUUCAAUUGUCAGAGGUGAAAUUCUUGGAUUUAUUGAAGACUAACUACUGCGAAAGCAUUUGCCAAGGAUGUUUUCAUUAAUCAAGAACGAAAGUUAGGGGAUCGAAGACGAUCAGAUACCGUCGUAGUCUUAACCAUAAACUAUGCCGACUAGGGAUCGGAUGAUGUUAAUUUUUUAAUGACUCAUUCGGCGCCUUACGGGAAACCAAAGUGUUU
rnacentral:rRNA from 1 species